rnacentral:misc_RNA from 1 species
AUAAACUUUGCUACUGGCCGCAUUUCUAUUUUCUCCUUCGAUUCUUCUAAUUCGUACUUUGGUUUCUGACGUCCCUAAAAUUUUUAGACAGUAAGAGUUUCUCCAGGAUCCGAUGGUUCUCUCCGGUAAAUUAACAUUUUAGUGUCAAUAGUCAUUUAUACAUAUUUUUAUUUCACUUUUUGUUUUGUUUAUUGGUUUUCUGGAGCUAAGUGGAGAUUAUAGUCGAACAAGAGUGG